GACGAACGCUGGCGGCGUGCCUAAUACAUGCAAGUAGAACGCUGAAGAGAGGAGCUUACUCUUCUUGGAUGAGUUGCGAACGGGUGAGUAACGCGUAGGUAACCUGCCUUGUAGCGGGGGAUAACUAUUGGAAACGAUAGCUAAUACCGCAUAACAAUGGAUGACACAUGUCAUUUAUUUGAAAGGGGCAAUUGCUCCACUACAAGAUGGACCUGCGUUGUAUUAGCUAGUAGGUGAGGUAAUGGCUCACCUAGGCGACGAUACAUAGCCGACCUGAGAGGGUGAUCGGCCACACUGGGACUGAGACACGGCCCAGACUCCUACGGGAGGCAGCAGUAGGGAAUCAUCGGCAAUGGGGGCAACCCUGACCGAGCAACGCCGCGUGAGGGAAGAAGGUUUUCGGAUCGUAAAGCUCUGUUGUAAGUGAAGAACGGGUGUGAGAGUGGAAAGUUCACACUGUGACGGUAGCUUACCAGAAAGGGACGGCUAACUACGUG
rnacentral:rRNA from 1 species